GCAGGUUGGAGUCUCGGGUUAGACGUGUGUGCAAGUCCCUUGGAACAGGGUGCCACUGAGGGUGAGAGCCCCGUAUCGUGCAUGUCGACACCUGUGAGGCCCUUCUGACGAGUCGAGUUGUUUGGGAAUGCAGCUCUAAGUGGGUGGUAAAUUCCAUCUAAGGCUAAAUAUUGGCGAGAGACCGAUAGCGAACAAGUACUGUGAAGGAAAGAUGAAAAGCACUUUGAAAAGAGAGUGAAACAGCACGUGAAAUUGUUGAAAGGGAAGGGUAUUGGGCUCGACAUGGGAUUUACGCAUCGUUGCCUCUCGUGGGCGGCGCUCUGGG
rnacentral:rRNA from 1 species